UACGGAGGGGGUUAGCGUUGUUCGGAAUUACUGGGCGUAAAGCGCACGUAGGCGGAUUUUUAAGUUAGAGGUGAAAUCCCAGGGCUCAACCCUGGAACUGCCUUUAAUACUGGAAGUCUUGAGUUCGAGAGAGGUGAGUGGAAUUCCGAGUGUAGAGGUGAAAUUCGUAGAUAUUCGGAGGAACACCAGUGGCGAAGGCGGCUCACUGGCUCGAUACUGACGCUGAGGUGCGAAAGCGUGGGGAGCAAAUAGG
rnacentral:rRNA from 1 species